rnacentral:rRNA from 1 species
CGAAGCAGUGAUGUGGAGCGAAUCCCAAAAAUAAACGUCCCAGUUCGGAUUGCAGUCUGCAACUCGAGUGCAUGAAGCUGGAAUCGCUAGUAAUCGCGAAUCAGAAUGUCGCGGUGAAUACGUUCCCGGGUCUUGUACACACCGCCCGUCACACCAUGGGAGUCGGUAACACCCGAAGCCGAUAGUCUAACGAAAGAGGACGUCGUCGAAGGUGGGAUUGAUGACUGGGGUGAAGUCGUAACAAGGUAUC